rnacentral:rRNA from 1 species
UGGGGAAUAUUGCACAAUGGGCGAAAGCCUGAUGCAGCAACGCCGCGUGAGGGACGACGGCCUUCGGGUUGUAAACCUCUUUUAGCAAGGAAGAAGCGAAAGUGACGGUACUUGCAGAAAAAGCGCCGGCUAACUACGUGCCAGCAGCCGCGGUAAUACGUAGGGCGCAAGCGUUAUCCGGAAUUAUUGGGCGUAAAGAGCUCGUAGGCGGUUUGUCGCGUCUGCUGUGAAAACCCGAGGCUCAACCUCGGGCCUGCAGUGGGUACGGGCAGACUAGAGUGCGGUAGGGGAGAUUGAAACUCCUGGUGUAGCGGUGGAAUGCGCAGAUAUCAGGAAGAACACCGAUGGCGAAGGCAGAUCUCUGGGCCGUAACUGACGCUGAGGAGCGAAAGGGUGGGGAGCAAACAGGCUUAGAUGACCCUAGGUAGUCCACCCGUAAACGUUGGGAACUAGUUGUGGGUCCAUUCCACGGAUUCCGUGACGCAGCUAACGCAUUAAGUUCCCCGCCUGGGGAGUACGCCGCAAGGC